rfam:Schistosoma margrebowiei strain Zambia genome assembly, scaffold: SMRZ_scaffold0000147
AUCCAGCUGACGAGUCUCAAAUAAGACGAAACGCACAUCAAACUGGAU